UGGCGAACGUGUGAGUAACACGUGGGUGAUCUGCCCUGCACUUCGGGAUAAGCUUGGGAAACUGGGUCUAAUACCGGAUAGGACCAUCGUUUAGUGUCGGUUGUGGAAAGUUUUUUCGGUGUGUGAUGAGCUCGCGGCCUAUCAGCUUGUUGGUGGGGUAAUGGCCUACCAAGGCGUCGACGGGUAGCCGGCCUGAGAGGGUGUACGGCCACAUUGGGACUGAGAUACGGCCCAG
rnacentral:rRNA from 1 species